GAUGAACGCUGGCGGCGUGCCUAAUACAUGCAAGUCGAGCGAACAGACGAGGAGCUUGCUCCUCUGACGUUAGCGGCGGACGGGUGAGUAACACGUGGAUAACCUACCUAUAAGACUGGGAUAACUUCGGGAAACCGGAGCUAAUACCGGAUAAUAUAUUGAACCGCAUGGUUCAAUAGUGAAAGACGGUUUUGCUGUCACUUAUAGAUGGAUCCGCGCCGCAUUAGCUAGUUGGUAAGGUAACGGCUUACCAAGGCAAUGAUGCGUAGCCGACCUGAGAGGGUGAUCGGCCACACUGGAACUGAGACACGGUCCAGACUCCUACGGGAGGCAGCAGUAGGGAAUCUUCCGCAAUGGGCGAAAGCCUGACGGAGCAACGCCGCGUGAGUGAUGAAGGUCUUCGGAUCGUAAAACUCUGUUAUUAGGGAAGAACAAAUGUGUAAGUAACUAUGCACGUCUUGACGGUACCUAAUCAGAAAGCCACGGCUAACUACGU
rnacentral:rRNA from 1 species